AUUGGAGUAAGCAGGCUGAGAUUUCACCAGUGCAUGCUUUAUACAUUGACAACUCUGAACAACAAAACAAAGGAAAUGGAAAGAGAAAAAGGAGGAAGAAAGGAGUAAUGUGAACUGAAACACUUUGUAUGAGACUGUUAAUGUUUGAUUGCUGAUGCCCAGAAAGAGAAUAUAAAUAAUGUAUUAUUGCUGAAAGCUGUACCCAGCUUGGAGGGGAGGACACAAGAUGACAAAUAAAGCAGCAAGGCACGGAAGUGAGCAUCACAGACAUCCACCAUGUGUAAUCUGCAGGAAGAGUGAGGUUCAGCAGAACCAAGCAAUGGAAGUGCUGCGAAUACAGGAAAUCCCCAUGUCUGGGAUGUGGCACAGCUGCCCAGUGAGGUGGUGGGGUCACUGCCCCUGGAGAUGGUCCUGGAGAGCCAUGGAGAUGUGGCACUGAGGAGCAUGAGAUCUUAAAGGGAGGAACACGCACCAAGAGGAAGGG
ensembl:lncRNA